AUAAAUAAUGUAAAAUAAGUAAAUAGGUAAGUAAAGAUGACUUUUAUCCUCAGCCUUUGAAUUGAUAAGUGGAUUGCUUUGACUACUCUGUAUAAUGUCUUUUUCCUAUUUUUUGGUUGAUUGUUUUCAUGGUUGGAGUUCUGGAUCUUGUCAGAUUACAGAGUGGGAGAGUACCAACUAUUGGAACAGACUGAUAAGGCUGCUGGAGGACACAGAAGCCUUUCCCAGCUGUGCCCUCAGAUCUGGAAACUGAUCAGUGAUGGGCCAAUUCCCUGCAAGCCUCUCACUGUCUACUUCUGGGCUUCGUGCUGGAGAAAUUGAUCUUGGCUUCUGGAAAGACAAGCAUGCAGACUUAGUUUUCAUGAUGGUUGCCAACUCCAUGGAAAACAAGAAACCUUCCAGGACAUGGAACACCCGGCAGUGGCAAGGCUGGGUUAAGUGUCCAUCAUCCUUAUUACUGGAACUAUUUUAGAAUAAAGUCAGACACUGAGCUGUGAUCCAUUGGCAAUAAGAAGACUGUUACUUAUAGUAGACUUCCUGAGUUCAGGAAAGGAAACAUGGUCUCCCUAGUGCAAACCAGUUGGUGUUUGACUCUCACUCUGUCCCAUGCUUUAACUGUUGUGGCAUAACUAUCUCUUAAAUAUUAACUGUAUUGUUUUCUUGGAAUACACCAGAAAACCUAUCACUGGGAUUAGAUGGCUAUGGUGCCUGUUUUUUGGCAGAGUGGGCAAUGUGUAAGCUAUAAUUCAGAGAACUGACUUAUUUCUACUUAUUUAGUGUUUGACCACUAACUUCUUGAGGAGUAUAAACUCCUCAGUCUCAGCUUCUCCAUCUUUAGAAUGGGGGCAAUGACUGCAAAAGAUUGUGUGCCAAAGUAUCUUAUUGAAGCAAUAAAAUGCUCCAACACUGAUGUCUCAUUUCUUUCCUAAACAUACCUCUGCUUCCCCUUCACUUCUUAUAGAUCCUUCACCUCUGAAAUGGACAAAAGUGUAGGGCAUGGAGUGCUGGAUGCUGACUUACAAAAGUGCUCCACCACAGAUUAUACUGAAAAUUGUUGUCUGUAUACACAGCGUUUGACCUGCUCUCCUCCACAAAGUGAAAAGUUUCAGUCCAUUGUUACCAAAAGGAGUCCAAUUCUUGUGUAGAAAU